rnacentral:lncRNA from 1 species
GUGAACAGAAAAGCACUCAAAAUGCAGAUGCAUUGCAGUCAGCUGGGAUCAAUCUGCAGAAGGUGCUGAGGCCGCUGCUCUGGUGCUUCCCCACUCAGGAAAUCACAAAACCUUGGAGACUGGGAUCACUGGGUCAUUGGGAAAGGCCAACAGUCCUGCUCCCUGGUCAAAAGCAUCUGCCUGGUGGAGUUCACCCAUGAUGAAAUCCAGAAACAUCAAUUCCCACAUUUAUUGUGGUGUCUUCCACAGAUUUAUAGCUCCUCAUGCUGCCACCAUGAACCUAUACCAGGAAAUGCUCAGACACACAGUCCAAAGGACCUGGAAAGAAAAGAGUUCCUUCAGAGCUAUGAUUUAGAGCGUCUGAAGUUAAGCUCUUGCUCUAAGUCGCCCUCCAAACCUCCCUGUCACUGAUGCACAUUCUCAUUGAAGUGAACCUUAGUGAAUUCCUCCUUUGUCACUGAAAUAUGAAAUGCACGUACACAGCAAAAUGAAUAUCCAGAUAAAAUGCUGCCAUUGAGAUGCCACAAAAAAACUGAGGCUUUCUGUUCUAUUCUGGAGGUUGUCAGGAGUCUAUGGAGCUUGUUGGAGUCAAACUUGCCUUAUAGAAUCUGGAUUUUUAGGUAUUUGUGAUGAAAAUUUGGGUCUACCACAGUCUCUAUGAAUGUGCCAGCGAUCAUCAGCACAACCAGUAACUGGAUUCUCAAAAAAAAAAAAGCAGGGCUGGAAACUGAUGGCCUCCAGAACCCUGGUGAA